GAUCCAUGCUGGUCGCAAAGCCACUAUGUUGGUUUUCCCAUGGCACGGCUCAUAUAUUAUUUCACUGCCGCUGUUGGAGUUUAAAUUUUCUCUUAACACAAUGCAGAAAAAGUGUAGAGCUGAUUCUAUACGACUACAUUAUCCCACAAAUGUUUAAAGUUAAAUUUGCAAAUAUGAAAAAUUGCAAAAAGUAAACAAUGAAAAUAUCUGUAAAAAGGGAUACAAAAAUGUUAAAGUAGCAUAUACCAAAAAAGGGACCAGCAUUUCAGCCGAAUAUUUAGUUUACAUAUUUAUUUGUUAACUUAUGUCACCAAUUUCAAGAGCAAUAUUCCGAAAAACUGAAGUUGGUCUUUAUCGUAUAAGCAAUUUAACUGAAAACUUAUUUCAAAUCAAUGAGUUUUGAAGUUCUAUUCUUACUGAGAUCGUUAUGAAGCUAGUUUAACUGCCAAUAAGUAAUACAUUUAGCCCCCUCCUUUUUGUUGAACUAUUUUCAAUUUAAGCAAUUUAUAAUUGCUCAAUAUUUUACCAAUAUGCAAAAACAACCAUGAAUGUAUAAAGAGCAUAGUUAUGUAAUAUACUAAUAUGUUCCCCCUCUCUCUCUCUGCAUCGGCUAUGAUAACCUCGCAUAUAAUUCAACUAAUCACUCCCACAUUGCUAAUCAGGCUGCAGCUGAUUCUUUCCUUCAUUUAUGGCAUUUUGUCUUUAGUGUGACAAGCCUUGCAUUUACAAUUACAUUCGAAGUAGUAUGUCCCACAUAAACAUAGACACUAAUUGACUUGGAAACGGAAACUAUAAAACGAUUGUCACAUACACCACUGAAUAUCCUAAAAAUCACACAUGACCUGCUGAUUUUUUUUUUUUUUUUUUCCAAAUAUGUACUAGACUGACCAAAUGUUCAGUUCAAGUUUGAACGAUAUGAACUUUAUGUAUUGAAUAGUGCAUUCAUUGACAAUGCAUAGAAACUAAUGCAGGCACAUAUUUUAGACUUUAUACAUUUUAUCAAGUAAACUAUUUUGAAACAUUUAUAUUUAUUGUCUGUUUCUCUGGUGCUUCUGUCGAAGUAAGACCAAUUCUUCGUUCAAAAUAAUUUUCGGGUUAAGGUCUUAAACUAAGAUGAAUCAAUUAAUUCAAUUACAUUUGAUGUAAUAGUUGUGAAAGCCAACUUGGUUACAGAAACCCUUUCAAUUUCCUGGAUCAGUUUUAAAAAAGAUACAACAAGAUACAUGAAUAUAUGAUGUCCAGGCCUAAUAUUUUUCUAAAACAGAGCUAUCAAACGUUUUCAAACAUACAAAUUAGCAGGAGUUAAAAUCAAUCAAUUAUACCCGAUAGAUUUCCCAGAGAUAAUAUCACCACAACUGAUACAGAUUGGCCCUAACAGGGAACCAGUAAAAUUUUCCCAGAGAUCCUAUAUACGGUUACAUAAAUCCAGAUGUUGCAAAUCUUGACUACCUGUCAAUAGUAUUUGUACAUAUAAAGUAGUUUUGCUUCUUACAAUCAUAUACAUGAUGCUAAAGGAAAUCUUUCAACUACGUACACUGUAGCAAAAGCUUCCAGAAUAGAAAUCCAUAGACUACAAUUUCGUAGGCGUAGCGCAAGUACACGCUGACCAGUGUGUUUAAAAUUACUGUUACAGUGCAAUAUAGGUAUGCUGUUUCCUUGCAGUUGCAUUUUUUAAAAUUGCAAGAUUUUAAAAUUUCUUAUAAGGGAAAACUUUCCUGUGAGAUUCACACCUGGUUCUAAACCGACAGUGAAACAAAUACACCAUACUUGCCGUAUGUGCACUACAUGUUUCUGUCAUACAGCUUUUGUACGACAAUAUCAGGUGUCACUUGACAACAAUGGACUUUUUACUUAGACCAAUAUUUUUAUGUGUAUAAUUUAAUUUCAAAUUUCAUUUUAACAAACUUUGUUUUCUGUCAUUGUUCUAAAGACUAGACAUACAAAUUGUGUUGGGACCAAAACAUAUUUAGCACUAGAUAUUAAUAUCCAAAUUUUCCCUGAAAAUAUAGAUUCUGCUGCUAGAUAUUGCGAACAUUUUCCCCACAGUAUCAUGAAUUUAGGUUCGAUUUUUUCACAAAGAUGGUUUUCCCCAUGUACAGAGUAAUAUGUAGUACAAAACAAAUAAACAUUUGUUUUCGGACAUUAAUUAGGCUGAGGAAAUGUGAAUGGUUGUUUUGUUCUAUUCUCAACUUCAUCACCUUGAACAAUGCUGAACCAGUCAUCUCAAUUAAAGUUAGUUCUUUGUAACUUUGUCCUGAGUUGUUACUUAGGUUACUGAAUGGUUUGUGAAAACCAAAGUAGUUUGUCUAUAAUAAACUGUCAUAAAUCAACAGACAGGCUCAUAAGCCCAAAAAGACAAAACAAGUUAGGUUUUAAAUACUUUUCCAUCAUUGGAAUGCUUUAAAGUAAAGUUCAUCAACCAUGGAGAAACUGUUUUUAUGCAAUUUAAUCCUUAUUCAACAAUUUUAUCAGUUAUAAAUAGUUAAAAUGUACACAUUUGAAACAUAAUCAGCAUGUGUGUUAGCUCUAGGUAGUAUCUGUCACGUUUGAUUUUUGUUGCUGUUUAAGUCACUUUAACAUUGUUGUCACAACAUAUGCAUUAUAUGACAAAAUAGACUUUCAGUCUAAACUUGGCUCUUAAGUAACAUUGAUAUAACAUACAUAAGUAUGAAGCACAAAAUGUCAACAUUUCGAACAUGCUGCCUGUAUGAUUUCCCAAAGUAACGUUGUUCUCUAAAGCAGACACAGACUACAUGCUCCGCCAGAGACAGAUACAUAUAUUGAAGUAUUAAGUGACUUCAAAUCGUUGUAGUGAGUUAAAUCAUUGACACAAUUUAUCUAAGCCCAAAAACGUAGUCAUACUCUGUAAAAUCACCGAUUUCAAAAGUGUAAGUUAUGUAUACAAUGUAGUGGAGUUUUGACAGCCUGCUGCCAUCAUUAUACACCAUUGUACCUACUGUACUGAUGUAGCAAAUUGUCUUAGUAUACAAUACUAAACUAGUGACAUAGUGUUUUGUUGUCAUAGCUCGUAGCUUUGUCUUCUGUUUUAUUGUAACACUGGAUAAGACUAAUUAUUAUGGCGUUGGUAUACCUACUGUUUUUUAUUAGAGAUUUGCAUUAUUAUAUAGUGUUAUCCCGGUUCAUUACCUACCAUACUGAAUUUUUGACUGCUUAUUCUGUCAUAUUCUCUUAAAAAUAACCUAUUGUACUAAUUUUGACAGUGCAUAACAGUAUUUGAUUUUCAUCCAGUGACUACAAACCUUACCUUGUCUCAGUUUACCUAAAUACAUGUACCUUUCUCUUGCUGUAUAUUGCCAUGUUUUGCUUCAGCAUCAAUGUAAUGGAAAGGCCAUCUUUCACCACUGUACCUUAGACUGUACUGGAUGUUGCCGCUGGAUUCAAUUUCCACAAAUUUAUUUUCCUCGGUACCUACAGUACUGGUUUAAGCAAAGUAAUUCAAUGUUUUGUUUCGCCACAGUACCAACUGUUACAAUACUGAAUAUUGUGAUUGUGUUUCCAAAAAUUCAGUUGCCUCAGUACCUACUGUACUGGUUUAAGCAAAUUAAUUCAAUUUUAUUAUUCGCCUCAGUACCUACUGUACUGGAUAUUGUGAUUGUGUUUCCACCAAUUCAUUUGCCUCAGUACCUACUGUACUGGUUUAAGCAAAUUAUUCAUUGUCAUGAUUCAACUCAGUACCUACUGUAUUGGACAUUGCAGUUGUGUUUUCCACAAUUUAUUUGCCUCAGUACCUACGUACUGGUUUAAGCAAAUUAUUCAUUGUCAUGUUUCGCCUCAGUACCUACUGUAUUGGAUAUUGCAGUUGUGUUUCCACCAAUUUAUUUGCCUCAGUACCUACUGUACUGGUUUAAGCAAAUUAUUCAUUGUCAUGAUUCGCCUCAGUACCUACUGUAUUGGACAUUGCAGUUGUGUUUCCACCAAUUUAUUUGCCUCAGUACCUACUGUACUGGUUUAAGAAAAUUAUUCAUUGUCAUGAUUCGCCUCAGUACCUACUGUAUUGGACAUUGCAGUUGUGUUUCCACCAAUUUAUUUGCCCAAGUACCUGCUGUACUGGCUUAAGCAAAUUAAUCCAUUGUCAUGAUCCUCCCCAUUAUCUACUGUACUGGAUAUUACAAUUGUAUUUCGAUAAGGUUAUCUGCCUCAAUACCUACUGUAAUGAUUUAAGCAAAUCUAUCUAUUGUCAUGAUUUGUCUCAGUAACUACUGUUUUGAAAUUGUAUUUCCACAAGUUUAUUUGCCUCAGUACCUUCUGUACUAGGUAUUACGAUCAUAUUUUCACAAAUUUAUUUGCCUCACUACAUACUGCAAAAAUUUUUGGCAAAUCAAUCCAUUGUCAUGAUUCGCCUUAAUUAGUACCUACUAUACUAGAUUUAGCGACCAACAGGAUUGAUACAGUUUAAAUCCGCACUAAAAAUAUUACAUCAGUUAUAAUCAAGUAAGAACUUUUCCUACAAAAAUGUGAAAAGCCUUUCGUAAAAUGUUAUUAAAUUAAUCCAAAGGAUACACCAGAAUGUUUCAAUUGAAUAAUCACAAAUGAAAGUACAUUAAAGAAUAAAUGCUACAAUUUGUAGAAAAAUCACAACUAAUCUCCGAAAGUAAAUAUACAUCCACACUGAUAAGAAAACUUUUUGGUUCUGCCUGGCUACCUGAUAAGAUCACGUGUUCAUCUCAUUUAACCCUGUGUGGUCCAGUGCAGUAGAAUACAUACCUUCUUCAGACACCCUGGAAAAACUUAAAAGAUCAUACCUUCAGUGGCAAUACUCUGACAGUCCAAUAAUUCAUAAUUGCAAUUAAGUGUCAGGAAAUACUGUCUCUACCAUCUCUCUCCAUUUUCACUGUAAAUACUCCAGUUAGCAAAUAUAGUGUCCUGUAUUGUAUAUAUUUCAUUCUCAUAUUAUUUUUCUGAUAACAUAUAGCUCUGUGUUUUAUUUUGUCAUAAUUUUAUUCAUGUUCAUUGUUUUUGUAUAUAGCCAUGUAUACGUGGACCAUAUUGUAAAUUGGCAUAGCCAAAUAUGUUAUCCACUAUAAAUAAAGUCGUUAUUAUUAUUAUUAUUUAAAAACUGCAUAUAUAAACUUUGAAUGAAGAUUUUACAUCUGAUAUCUAAAUCCGACCUUAAAUGUUAUUAGAAAAAACAUUUUCACAGCAGUUACUACUUAAUACUUUAAUUAAAAUUUACUGAAUAUUUGAAAAUUCUGUUUUAUGCAAUGCUUUCCUUUUGUAGGGAGGUUUUUAUAAUAGCAUAUGGCCAGCCAAAUGAGGUAUCGAGCUAAAAUGUAGUGCUGUAAAAUGUGAAGAAUUUGCGUGGUUAGAAUCAAAAUAAUAAAGAUGUUCCAAUAGUUUUAUCAGUUAAUUUAAUAUGGGCAGUCGUUUUGGAUGCGAAUAUUAAAUCACUUGUGAUAUGCUCUCAUGAUUUAAUUUUUACAUAUCCGCACUCCUGCCCAUAUUAUAUGCCCGUUUGAAAAACGGGACGUAUUAUGGGAACGCCCCUGGCAGGCGGGCGGGCGGCGUCCACAGACUUUGUCCUGAGCAUAUCUUCUACAUGCAUGGAGGGAUUUUGAUGAAACUUGGCACAGUUGUUCACCAUAAUGAGACGGAGUGUUGUGCGCAAGAACCAGGUCCCUGGAUCUAAGGUCAAGGUCACACUUGGAGGUCAAAAGUCAAAUUCAAGAAUGACUUUGUCCGGAACAUAUCUUCUUCAUGCAUGGAGGGAUUUUGAUGAAAGUUGGCACAAUUGUUCAUCAUCAUGAGACGGAGUGUCGUGCGCAAGAACCAGGUCCCUAGGUCUAAGGUCAAGGUCACAUUUAGAGGUCAAAGGAUACAAGAAUGAAAAAUUCAAGAAUGACUUUGUCCGGAGCAUAUCUUCUUCAUGCAUGGAAGGAUUUUGAUGUAUCUUGGCACAAUUGUUCACCAUCAUGAGACGGAGUGUCAGGCGCAAGAACCAGAUCCCGAUGUCUAAGGUCAAGGUCACACUUAGAGGUCAAAGGAUACAAGAAUCAAAACUUUGUCUGGAGCAUAUCUUCUUCAUGCAUGAAAGGACUUUGAUGUAACAUGGCACAAAUGUUCACAAGCAUGAGACGGAGUGUCCUGCGCAAGAAUCAGGUCCCUAGGUCUAAGGUCAAGGUCACACUUAGAGGCCAAAGUUCAAAUACAAGAAUGACUGUCCGGAGCAUUUCUUCUUCAUGCAUGGAGGGAUUUUGAUGUAACUUGGCACAAUUGUAUACCAUCAUGAGACGGAGUGUCAUCACUGGUCCCUUCUUUUGAAUUACUUCCCUUUGUUAUUACUAUAAAUAGCUUAUAUUCCAGCUGAAGUUCAUUUUUAUUACUCUCACAAGAUCAUAUUUAAUUUGUUCCACAAUUGUUGCACCAAUCUCUUUUAAAUCUUCUUUAGAGAAAGUUGGCGCCAUUUUGGACUGUAAUGGCUUUGACUCAACAGAAAAACUACACUUAGAGUCUAAAUCAGAUUCUAGAUAGUUCCCUCACUGUCACUCUCUUUACUGUCUGCGCCAACAAGGCAAGUUCUAUGUUUUUUACUUGUUGGUUUCUCGCCAGGUGACGAUUUAUUAUGGUUUAGUUUUUUACGCUGGCGCGGGGGGGGCCGCGCGACAUUUAGCUGAUUUUGAAAUCAAAUAAAUAUACCGUUCAAUGUGUCGAAUACUUUUCACACUAUCCGUUCCAUCAUUAUAUCAAGGCACUUCAUAAGUCUAAUUUAAAGCUUAGAUCCAUUGGAAAUCGGGUUUUGUAACCUACAACAUGUUUGUUUUUACACUGGUUUGAAAAACACCGCCAUUUUUCACAAACCGGAAGUCAGUAAGCAGUCUGAACCAGUCGGCCACAGUGGUCCCUGUCCCUGAAACUUGGUCAGAAUGUUUAUCUUGAUUUCUAGGCCAAGUUCGAAGCUGCGUCAUAUGGGGUCAAAAACUAGGUCACCCAGUCAAUUCAAAAGAAAAGGUUGUUAACAGUCUUGUCCAUUUGAUGUGCAUGAAACUUGGUCAGAAUGUUUGUCUGCAUGAAAUAUUGUAUGAAUUUUUAUCUGGGUCAUGUAUGGUAAAAAAUUAGGUCACCAGGUCAAAUCAAAGAAUAAGCUUGUUUACACCCUAGGGGGCACAUUUUUUAUUCUAUCUUCGUAAAAUUUGGUCAGAUGUUUGUUAUCAUGAUCGUGGACGGUUAUAAAUCUUGUUCAUUUGGGGUCAAAAUUAGGUCACUAGCUCAAAUCAUAGGAAACGCUUGUAUACACUUUAGAGGCCACAUUUUUUCUCCCAUCUUCCCACAACCUUGUCAGAAUGUUUUUCAUAAAAUUUAGACAAAUUUGAAUCUGGGUUAUGUGGGUUGAAAAAAUAGGUAACUAGGUCAAAUCAAGGAAAAUGCUUGUUAACACUCAAGAGACCACAUCGUUUGGUCCAACUUUUAUGGAAAAUUGCUCAAAAUAUUUGUCUCCAUGAAAUCACUAGGUAAAAUAUGUAAACACUGUUAUGGUAUGUUACACAGGUGAGCGACCUAGGGCCAUCACGGCCCUCUAGUCUUUAAUAUUUUUUGUGUUCGUUUAAAUGUAUGUCUAAAUUGGGAAUGCACAUUUCACAGUCUGCACUAGUUUGUUGUUUUUCAAUAAAUGAUGUCUAAAACA